rnacentral:tRNA from 1 species
AGGAUUAUAGUUUAUUUUAAAACAUUUAGCUUGCAACUAAAAAAUACAUUAGUUGACCCUU